GUGGAUUCGUGGAUACUGACCACGAUAUCCAAGAAGAUACGAUGCCCAAGAUUAUGACUUCGAUUCACCACCAAAUUCUCCAUCUCGAUCAUCAAAUCGAUCACCAGAUUACAAUUCAUCGAGACGAUCAUCAAAAUCAGAAGAAGAUUCUCCAAGGUCACUUCAUCGAUCUCGAUCACUUACCGGAUCUCAAUCGUCCUCAGUAACUUCAUUAUCUUCAUUAAGAUCGAUACAACAAACACCUGUAAUUUCGACUCUGGUUAAUUCUGAUGUGAUGAUACUGAUUUAAUUCAUCCACAAAACAAAAGCUUCAAAACAUGGUCCAGUUUACUAUUUUUCAGUCAAAGUUUUAGAAUCUUUCGCUCAAGCAAUUAAAUCAUUACCCUAAGUACAAAAGAAGCUUAAACCACGUGGCUCUUUAUGAUGCAAUUGAAUUAAUUGAAUGGUAAGUCUACAUUAUUUGGUUGGAAAUAUUUUCUUUCUAUUUGGAUACAAUGAUGAUUGAAUUAGUCUAUCUUAUUCUAAUGACGACUACCUAGCCCUAUCUGACUUCCUUAACGUGGAAUCUGAUUAUCAAAUCAAUUAUACACGAAUGUAUUUUCUCAAAUCAAUUUCGGUCUUUUGAAAUUAUCUAGAAAUCAUCGUUUUGGUGAUUGGAACGGGAAAAUGAAGAAAAUGGGAAAAGAUUUAUUUCUUAAUGCCAUGUAUUGACUCAAUGGUUUCAUGAAACCAGGCAAAGGUUUGGAGUUUGGUUGACUUUUGGUCUACUUAUCCCAUCUCAUGUAGACUUUGGUUCAUGGUUGAUUUCAGUUUGAUGGAUUUUUUCAGAGUUUCCUCAUUGCUGUUUCUAUUACUUACUCUGGAUGGUUUGGUCUUUUACAAUUCCAAAUGAUUAUGUGACCUAACGAAUGAUUUCAGAGAGUGUCCGUUGUAAUUGUGUUUUCCAAACAAAAUUGAAGACAAUCUCCAUUAUAAUUAUGAUCCCGUUUAAAUUGAUAAUUGUACUCAAUUGUUGCCGCAUUAAUCGAUUCAUCAAUAUUUAUCAGAAUUAUCGAGUUCAGGAUUGUUUUACAAUUUAAGUUUGUCCAGCUUUCAAUUUUAUGGUUCUCCAUUUUUACCGGUAACUUUUAGAAUCAAGAUGUUCACUAUUGGAGUUUCAUGUCUUCGUCAUCAAAUUGUCUCACUUUUAUUAUCCAUUUUUAUGAGCAUAGAACUGUAAUUUAUUAAACACCUGAUUUUUGUUGAUCAAUUAAAUUUUCAUCGAUAUAAUUUGAUUGAAAUCGAUCAAAAAUUUAUCAACCGGAUUUCCACCAAAACUUGUUUACAUCUCGAAUUUUUCUAAAAACGUCAAAAUCAUUUCCUAGUAAUUAAAUUCUGUAAUUAUGAAUAAAAUUUUGUCGUCAAUAAACAUUACAAUCAAAACUAAA